rnacentral:misc_RNA from 1 species
UACGUAGUGUCCGAGCGUUGUCCGGAAUUAUUGGGCGUAAAGGGCUCGUAGGCGGUUUGUCGCGUCGGGAGUGAAAACAUCGGGCUUAACUCGAUGCUUGCUUUCGAUACGGGCAGACUAGAGGUAUGCAGGGGAGAAUGGAAUUCCUGGUGUAGCGGUGAAAUGCGCAGAUAUCAGGAGGAACACCGGUGGCGAAGGCGGUGCUCUGGGCACUACCUGACGCUGAGGAGCGAAAGCAUGGGGAGCGAACAGG